UGGGGAAUAUUGCACAAUGGGCGGAAGCCUGAUGUAGCGACGCCGCGUGAGGGAUGACGGCCUUCGGGUUGUAAACCUCUUUCAGUAGGGACGAAGCGUGAGUGACGGUACCUACAGAAGAAGCACCGGCCAACUACGUGCCAGCAGCCGCGGUAAUACGUAGGGUGCGAGCGUUGUCCGGAAUUACUGGGCGUAAAGGGCUCGUAGGCGGUUUGUCGCGUCGAUCGUGAAAACUCGGGGCUCAACCUCGAGCUUGCGGUCGAUACGGGCAGACUUGAGUACUGCAGGGGAGACUGGAAUUCCUGGUGUAGCGGUGAAAUGCGCAGAUAUCAGGAGGAACACCGGUGGCGAAGGCGGGUCUCUGGGCAGUAACUGACGCUGAUGAGCGAAAGCGUGGGUAGCGAACA
rnacentral:rRNA from 1 species